rnacentral:rRNA from 1 species
CAGCCGUAAACUAUGCGCGUUAGGUGUAUCGGUGACCACGAGUUACCGAGGUGCCGAAGGGAAACCGUGAAACGUGCCGCCUGGGAAGUACGGUCGCAAGGCUGAAACUUAAAGGAAUUGGCGGGGGAGCACCACAACAGGUGGAGCCUGCGGUUUAAUUGGACUCAACGCCGGAAGCUCACCGGAUAGGACAGCAGAAUGAUUGCCGGGCUGAAGACCCUGCAUGACUAGCUGAGAGGUGGUGCAUGGCGUCAGUGACU